rnacentral:rRNA from 1 species
UACGUAGGGGGCAAGCGUUGUCCGGAUUUAUUGGGCGUAAAGAGCGUGUAGGCGGCCAAGCAGGUCCGCUGUGAAAACUCGAGGCUCAACCUCGAGACGUCGGUGGAAACCGUUUGGCUAGAGUCCGGAAGAGGAGAGUGGAAUUCCCGGUGUAGCGGUGAAAUGCGCAGAUAUCGGGAAGAACACCCGUGGCGAAGGCGGCUUCCUGGACCGACACUGACGCUGAGGCGCGAAAGCUAGGGGAGCAAACGGG